CCCUUAGAUGUUCUGGGCCGCACGCGUGCUACACUGAUGCAUUCAACGAGUCUAAAACCUGGUCUGAUAGGGCUGGGUAAUCUUUUGAAAGUGCAUCGUGAUUGGGAUAGAUGAUUGCAAUUUUUCAUCUUCAACGAGGAAUGCCUAGUAAACGCAAGUCAUCAGCUUGCAUUGAUUACGUCCCUGCCCUUUGUACACACCGCCCGUCGCUCCUACCGAUUGAAUGAUCCGAUGAAUAUCAUGGAUUGAGGAUGCAAGUAGGUUCGCCUAUCUUCAUCUUCGAGAAGUGAAGUAAAUCUUAUCAUUUAGAGGAAGGAGAAGUCGUAACA
rnacentral:rRNA from 1 species